AGAGACAGCAGCCGCCGCGGGAAUACGGAGGGUGCAAGCGUUAAUCGGAAUUACUGGGCGUAAAGCGCACGCAGGCGGUCUGACAAGUCAGAUGUGAAAUCCCCGGGCUUAACCUGGGAACUGCAUUUGAAACUGUCAGGCUGGAGUCUUGUAGAGGGGGGUGGAAUUCCAGGUGUAGCGGUGAAAUGCGUAGAGAUCUGGAGGAAUACCGGUGGCGAAGGCGGCCCCCUGGACAAAGACUGACGCUCAGGUGCGAAAGCGUGGGGAGCAAACAGGAUUAGAUACCCCGGUAGUCCCUGUCUCUUAUAA
rnacentral:rRNA from 1 species